rnacentral:lncRNA from 1 species
CAAAAUCGGGGUCGCAUAUUUUGGUACAUUUUGGUGCUUCUGGGAUGCGUGACAAACUCUGAACUAUGGGCCUCUAUCAUGAUGUCCAUCUUUAACUCACUGUCACCUGGAAUACACACACUUUCCUGGAAUCUGAGCAACCUAUCGGUGGAGAUUCAAAAUUCUGAGCUAACUCCCUGUUCUGCAUCUCUCUUGAGAGCUACUAGGGUAGAAUCGGCGGACUGAGCUUCUCUUAUUCUCUAGAUUAACUCAGGCUAAACGGUCAGAUGACCUAAACAUGUGACUCUCCUAAAGUCCU